AUGGACAUGAGGGACAGCUCUCAAAUCUUGGGGCUUCUGCUACUCUGGUUCUCAGGUGUGAGAUGUGACAUCCUAAUGACUCAGUCUCCAUCCUUGCUAUCUGCAUCUCUGGGAGAGAAAGUUACCAUCACUUGCAAGGCCAGUCAGAACUUUUUUAAUGGGUUAGCUUGGUAUCAGCAUAAACCAGGGGAGGCUCCUAAACUCCUGAUCAAUGGUGCAUCCAUACUGCAAACUGGGAUCCCAUCAAGGUUCAGCGGCAGUGGAUCUGGUACAGAUUACACUCUCACCAUCAGCAGCCUGGAGCCUGAAGACGUUGCCACUUACUUCUGUCACCAGUAUACUAGUACCCCUCCCACAGUGAUUCAAAUCAUGACAAAAACCUCACAGGGAAGCUCAAGUUCAAGGCUCUGCUGCCCAGAUGCUCCGGUUGGUUUAUGCAACUACAGUAUUUCCUGGUGA